rnacentral:rRNA from 1 species
CCUACGGGGGGCGGCAGUGGGGAAUUUUGGACAAUGGGCGCAAGCCUGAUCCAGCAAUGCCGCGUGAGUGAAGAAGGCCUUCGGGUUGUAAAGCUCUUUUGUCAGGGAAGAAACGGUGCGGGCUAAUAUCCCGCGCUAAUGACGGUACCCGAAGAAUAAGCACCGGCUAACUACGUGCCAGCAGCCGCGGUAAUACGUAGGGUGCAAGCGUUAAUCGGAAUUACUGGGCGUAAAGCGUGCGCAGGCGGUUUUGUAAGUCUGAUGUGAAAUCCCCGGGCUCAACCUGGGAAUUGCAUUGGAGACUGCAAGGCUAGAAUCUGGCAGAGGGGGGUAGAAUUCCACGUGUAGCAGUGAAAUGCGUAGAGAUGUGGAGGAACACCGAUGGCGAAGGCAGCCCCCUGGGUCAAGAUUGACGCUCAUGCACGAAAGCGUGGGGAGCAAACAGGAUUAGAUACCCUGGUAGUCCACGCCCUAAACGAUGUCUACUAGUUGUCGGGUUUUAAUUAACUUGGUAACGCAGCUAACGCGUGAAGUAGACCGCCUGGGGAGUACGGUCGCAAGAUUAAAACUCAAAGGAAUUGACGGGGACCCGCACAAGCGGUGGAUGAUGUGGAUUAAUUCGAUGCAACGCGAAAAACCUUACCUACCCUUGACAUGGCAGGAAUCCCGGAGAGAUCUGGGAGUGCUCGAAAGAGAACCUGCACACAGGUGCUGCAUGGCUGUCGUCAGCUCGUGUCGUGAGAUGUUGGGUUAAGUCCCGCAACGAGCGCAACCCUUGUCAUUAGUUGCUACGAAAGAGCACUCUAAUGAGACUGCCGGUGACAAACCGGAGGAAGGUGGGGAUGACGUCAAGUCCUCAUGGCCCUUAUGGAUAGGGCUUCACACGUCAUACAAUGGUACAUACAGAGGGCCGCCAACCCGCGAGGGGGAGCUAAUCCCAGAAAGUGUAUCGUAGUCCGGAUUGUAGUCUGCAACUCGACUACAUGAAGUUGGAAUCGCUAGUAAUCGCGGAUCAGCAUGUCGCGGUGAAUACGUUCCCGGGUCUUGUACACACCGCCCGUCACACCAUGGGAGCGGGUUUUACCAGAAGUAGGUAGCUUA